rnacentral:rRNA from 1 species
CUACGGGGCGCAGCAGUGGGGAAUAUUGCACAAUGGGCGCAAGCCUGAUGCAGCCAUGCCGCGUGUAUGAAGAAGGCCUUCGGGUUGUAAAGUACUUUCAGCGGGGAGGAAGGGAGUAAAGUUAAUACCUUUGCUCAUUGACGUUACCCGCAGAAGAAGCGCCGGCUAACUCCGUGCCAGCAGCCGCGGUAAUACGGAGGGUGCAAGCGUUAAUCGGAAUUACUGGGCGUAAAGCGCACGCAGGCGGUUUGUUAAGUCAGAUGUGAAAUCCCCGGGCUCAACCUGGGAACUGCAUCUGAUACUGGCAAGCUUGAGUCUCGUAGAGGGGGGUAGAAUCCCAGGUGUAGCGGUGAAAUGCGUAGAGAUCUGGAGGAAUACCGGUGGCGAAGGCGGCCCCCUGGACGAAGACUGACGCUCAGGUGCGAAAGCGUGGGGAGCAAACAGGAUUAGAUACCCCGGUAGUC